AGCGAACGCUGGCGGCAGGCCUAACACAUGCAAGUCGAACGAACCUUUCGGGGUUAGUGGCGGACGGGUGAGUAACACGUGGGAACGUGCCUUUAGGUUCGGAAUGACUCAGGGAAACUUGUGCUAAUACCGAAUGUGCCCUUCGGGGGAAAGAUUUAUCGCCUUUAGAGCGGCCCGCGUCUGAUUAGCUAGUUGGUUGAGGUAAUGGCUCACCAAGGCGACGAUCAGUAGCUGGUCUGAGAGGAUGAUCAGCCACAUUGGGACUGAGACACGGCCCAAACUCCUACGGGAGGCAGCAGUGGGGAAUCUUGCGCAAUGGGCGAAAGCCUGACGCAGCCAUGCCGCGUGAAUGAUGAAGGUCUUAGGAUUGUAAAAUUCUUUCACCGGGGACGAUAAUGACGGUACCCGGAGAAGAAGCCCCGGCUAACUUCGUG
rnacentral:rRNA from 1 species